CCAGUUUGCUUUCUGCACAUUUAUCAGCUCCGAGCUCGCUCCCUAGAGCCACCUUUAAUUGGGUUGAGAAGGGACAAGGGCCCAAGUAACUCUGGGAGCUGUUGGCAGCUAUAAGGAAACCCCACUGGGGAAAAGCCCCUGCUUGGUGAAGGAUUGAUAUGAGAGAAUUACAGAGGAACAUCUGGAGCACCAAUGCCAUUGAGAACCUCUAAACCAAACCACACCAGGAGCCUCUCUCCUGCUGGACAUCUCGGUCCUGAGGUUGGUCCUCUGCACUUCUGGUCUCCACUUGACACCCAGGAGGAGGUACCAUCACACCCCAGGACCUGCUGUGCUGGCGUUGUGUUUCUGCCGGAGUCACCUCUGUGAGUCGCGGGAGAGCCAGUCACCUUCGUAUGUGUGCACACGCAUGCACGGUCACAGAGGAACGUGCCUCCAGGGGUUUACCGUGCAUGAAUACCCGGACUAUUUGGAUGCUUUUCUUCAGGUUCUGUAGUUCUCAUGGUCAUGAAGCCCUCCACUAAUAGCAGUUCAUUUUCUUGACUUAUCUUUACAAAAAUAGGGUCAUAGGAUUUUCCCACUUUACAGGGUGAGCAAACAGAGGCUCAGAUGAGAAACCUGACUUACCACUGGUGGCAGAGUGGGAAGUCAAAUCAAGACAUCAGUCCAGCAUUUUUGACUCAUCCACUCGAUCAUUGGUUUUUAAUCUUAAGACGACCAUGACCCACACUCAGGGCAGAGAGUGAAAUGGAGGGAGAGAAUGAAAGCUUAAAUUUAGGUUUAGAAAUAAGCAGUCCAGGCACAGUGGCU
rnacentral:lncRNA from 10 species